UGGGGAAUAUUGCACAAUGGGCGCAAGCCUGAUGCAGCCAUGCCGCGUGUGUGAAGAAGGCCUUCGGGUUGUAAAGCACUUUCAGCGAGGAGGAAGGUGGUGGACUUAAUACGUUCAUCAAUUGACGUUACUCGCAGAAGAAGCACCGGCUAACUCCGUGCCAGCAGCCGCGGUAAUACGGAGGGUGCAAGCGUUAAUCGGAAUUACUGGGCGUAAAGCGCACGCAGGCGGUUUGUUAAGUCAGAUGUGAAAUCCCCGGGCUCAACCUGGGAACUGCAUUUGAAACUGGCAAGCUAGAGUCUCGUAGAGGGGGUAGAAUUCCAGGUGGUAGCGGUGAAAUGCGUAGAGAUCUGGAGGAAUACCGGUGGCGAAGGCGGCCCCCUGGACGAAGACUGACCGCUCAGGUGCGAAAGCGUGGGGAGCAACAGAUUAGAUACCCUGGUAGUCACGCUGUAAACGAUGUCGAUUUUGGAGGUUGUGCCCUUGAGGCGUGGCUUCCGGAGCUAACGCGUUAAAUCGACCGCC
rnacentral:rRNA from 1 species